GGGAAUGUGGCUUAGUGGUAGAGUGCUUGCCUAGCAUGCAUGAAACUCUGGGUUCGAUUCCUCAGUACCA
rnacentral:tRNA from 1 species